GGGGAUUUGGCUCAGUGGUAGAGCACUUGCCUAGGAAGCACAAGGUCCUGGGUUUGAUCCCCAGCCCUG
rnacentral:tRNA from 1 species